AUUGAACGCUAGCGGGCUGCCUUCCACAUGCAAGUCGAACGGAGUGGCGAACGUGUGAGUAAUGUAUCGGAACGUGCCCAGUAGCGGGGGAUAACUACGCGAAAGCGUAGCUCAUACCGCAUACUAUUGGAGCGGCCGAUAUCGGAUUAGCUAGUGGGUGGGGUAACGGAUCACCAAGGCGACGAUCCGUAGCUGGUUUGAGAGGACGACCAGCCACAAUGGGAUAUAGAGACGGGCCAGACUCCAACGGGAGGCAGCAGUAGGGAAUUUUGGACAAUAGGGGAAACCCAGAACAAGCAAUGCCGCGAGAGCGAUGAAGGCCAGCGGGUUGUAAAGCACUUUGGGCAGGAAAGCGGUACCUGCAGAAUAAGCACCGGCUAAAUACGUGCCAGCAGCAGCGGUAAGUC
rnacentral:rRNA from 1 species